rnacentral:rRNA from 1 species
GAUGAACGCUGGCGGCGUGCCUAAUACAUGCAAGUCGAGCGAACGGACGAGAAGCUUGCUUCUCUGAUGUUAGCGGCGGACGGGUGAGUAACACGUGGAUAACCUACCUAUAAGACUGGGUUAACUUCGGGAAACCGGAGCUAAUACCGGAUAAUAUUUUGAACCGCAUGGUUCAAAAGUGAAAGACGGUCUUGCUGUCACUUAUAGAUGGAUCCGCGCUGCAUUAGCUAGUUGGUAAGGUAACGGCUUACCAAGGCAACGAUGCAUAGCCGACCUGAGAGGGUGAUCGGCCACACUGGAACUGAGACACGGUCCAGACUCCUACGGGAGGCAGCAGUAGGGAAUCUUCCGCAAUGGGCGAAAGCCUGACGGAGCAACGCCGCGUGAGUGAUGAAGGUCUUCGGAUCGUAAAACUCUGUUAUUAGGGAAGGACAUAUGUGUAAGUAACUGUGCACAUCUUGACGGUACCUAAUCAGAAAGCCACGGCUAACUACGUG